AGGGAAGCAGGUCAUUCUUUAUG
rnacentral:miRNA from 1 species